CUCCCACCCACUCCUGCCCGUCUGUCUUCUGCCAUGGGAUGAUGCAGUAAGAAGGCCCUCGCCAGAUGCUGGCGCCUUGAUCUUGGACUUCUCAGCCUUCAGAACUAGAACACCACCACUAAUGGGAAAACUGCCCCCUGACCAGCACAUGGCCUCAGCAUUCAUCCACAGAUGCUCCUCAAAUUGUUUUAAAAACUGCUUUUUUUUAAAGCUGUUUGUCUAUGAAGAUUAAAUGAGUUAAUAAUAUAAGCAAAGCACUUAGCAUGGCUACUGGGUGCGGUGGCUCACGCCUGUAAUUCCAGCAUUUUGGGAGGCUGAAGCAGGUGGAUCACCUGAAGUCAGGAGUUCAAGACCAGCCUGACCAACAUGGCGAAACCCUGUCUCUAUUAAAAAUUCAAAAAAAUUAGCCGGGCGUGGUGGCACGUGCCUGUAAUCCCAGCUACUUGGGAGGCUAAGGCAGGAGAAUCGCUUGAACCUGGGAGGCAGAGGUUGCAGUGAGCCAAGAUCUCGCCAUUGCACUCCAGCGUGGUUGACAGAGCAAGACUCUGUCUCAAAGAACAAAAAAACCCAGCUUUUGUCCAGAGGUUGCUUUUUGUGGGUCUGUACGCUGAGGCCAAGUUCUAUGUAAGCAGAGCCCUCCCACCUCACCUCCAAACAAUGCCUCUAAACCAUCACAAUCUGAAAGGAAAAUAAAUCCCUUUCUUCAAUGGUGACCUGAAGCUAGCCAAGAGCCGGGUGCUGGCAGGUGGCCUGAGAGACUGGGUCAGAUCCCGGGUUACUGUCUGAGGAGGGGUGCCGUGCUGUAAGGGUUGGAGAGCCAGUGUCUGGCUUCCUUGUC
rnacentral:lncRNA from 1 species